GGAAGCCGGUGCGAUUCCGGCGCUGACCCGCAACCGUGACCCGCCCCGGCCCCGCCCGGGCGGGCAGCCGGAC
rnacentral:ncRNA from 18 species